UUUAUAAUGCAGCGAACAAAAACACUUUAAAGAGAUGCAAUGAUGGAUCAUUGAAGUAUAAUGUUGGUAGUUCUCUAAAACAAUCAGAUAAAAAUAACUAGACAAAACAACCAGUUUUAGAAGAUUUUUUGAACAACAAAAAAUUAACUAGUCAAAGUUAGGUUGAUAUUUACAUGACUACAUGACUAUAUACUGAUACAUUGCUAGUGAACGAUACGGUUGUUAAUGAUUUAGAAGAAAUCGACACAUUCAACUUGAACAUUCUAAAUUAUGAAGACCAUGAUUUGCCAUAUGCAUUAUCAAAACACCAUCGAUGUUAUUCACACACGAUAAAUUUAAUAGCAACAAUGGACUCUAAAAAAGCUUUGUCUAAUCUUGCAUACAAAAAACAGUCAAGAAGAACUUUUGCCAAGUCUACCGCUUUUUGAAACAAACAAGGUCGCUCAACUAAGUCAGCUGAUUUAUUCAAACAAAAUCUGGGUGUUUAUUUAAUUGCACCCAACAAAACACUUUGGAAUUCACUGUUUGAAGCAAUGGUGCUGCUUAAUAAAUUAAUUUAAAAAAAUGAACUUAAGUUUAGAAUAAUAAUGGACAAUUUGGCUAUUGGCUAUUGGCAGAUUUGAUAGAAGUGAUAUUGAUUUUGUGUGUCAACAUCAAACAAUUAUGGGGCCAAUUUCAAUAAGCUUGGCUUUAUUUAAGAGGUUGAUUGCAUAAUUUACCCACUAUCAAAAAAUUUUCAGGUGUUUUUGAAGUACAACACUCCACUACCUAGCUGUGCAUCAGUAAAGAGGGUGUUUAGUGUUGGUGAUGCAACAAUGCAAAAAAAAGAACAAAUAUGACGGAUCAAUAUUUUAAACAAAUAAUGUUCUUAAAAUGCAACACUCAAAUGUUAGAUUAAUAUAAUAUAUUAUGAAUGAUUCAGAAUUAAAUUGAUUUUUUUGUUUUGUAUUUGAAAAUCAUUUCAAAUACUUUAC